CCAUACUGAGGAUGACCACAGUAAUGGCCACUGCUAUGUGAAUUUGCAGCCAUCUGUAACAAGGUCCUUUUCCCUACACCUUGGAUCUGGACUGGUCUCAAGGCUUGCUUUGGCAUAGAAAGUGGCAGAAGUGCCCCAUCUCCAAGUCUGGACCUCAAGGUGGAGAGAGGCUCAGCUGCAGCCACCAAGGCCCUCCUCUGUCAGCCAGCCCACAGCUAACCACAGGGACACCAGGGAACGCAGCCUCGAUUAGCCACGGCCAGCUCACUGCAGAACUUGCUGUCCCACCAACCCUUAAACUCACGGGGAAUUGCUUGUAGUUGCAGCUUUAAGCCACUAAGUUUGGAGGCAACUUGUUAUACAGCAGUAACCAGCUGAUAAAAUUAACUCCAUCAGUGACACACAGCUGGUAAGGAGCACAGCUGGGACUGAACUUGUAGCUGCACUGGACCAAUUGGGUCUGUCUGGUUAAGAGAGGAAGGAG
rnacentral:lncRNA from 1 species